rnacentral:rRNA from 1 species
GGGCUCGCAGGCGGUUUCUUAAGUCUGAUGUGAAAGCCCCCGCCUCUACCGGGGAGGGUCAUUGGAAACUGGGGAACUUGAGUGCCUAAGAGGAGAGUGGAAUUCCACGUGUAGCGGUGAAAUGCGUAGAGAUGUGGAGGAACACCAGUGGCGAAGGCGACUCUCUGGUCUGUAACUGACGCUGAGGAGCGAAAGCGUGGGGAGCGAACAGGAUUACA